rnacentral:rRNA from 1 species
UACAUGCAAGUCGAGCGGAUUGAUGAGAAGCUUGCUUCUCUGAUGGUUAGCGGCGGACGGGUGAGUAACACGUAGGCAACCUGCCCUCAAGCUUGGGACAACUACCGGAAACGGUAGCUAAUACCGAAUACUUGCUUUCUUCGCCCUGAAGGAAGCUGGAAAGACGGAGCAAUCUGUCACUUGAGGAUGGGCCUGCGGCGCAUUAGCUAGUUGGUGAGGUAACGGUCACCACGAAGGCGACAAUGCGUACCCGACCUGAAAGGGUGAUCGGCCACACUGGGACUGAGACACGGCCCAAACUCCUACGGGAGGCAGCAGUGGGGAAUCUUCCGCAAUGGGCGAAAGCCUGACGGAGCAAUGCCGCGUGAGUGAUGAAGGUUUUCGGAUCGUAAAGCUCUGUUGCCAGGGAAGAACGUCCUUGAGAGUAACUGCUCAAGGAGUGACGGUACCUGAGAAGAAAGCCCCGGCUAACUCCUUGCCGGCCCACCACAA